AUAAAUAAAUAAAUAAAUAAAGUAAAGAUUACUACCAAGUUUAAUAAAAUACCCAUUUAGAGCGUAAACAUGACACGUGAGGUAGACCAACAAUAAUCAACCAAUCAGAUGAGGGAGGAGACGUACUCACCUGUCAGUCAGAAAGCCCCGCCCUCACGCGUUGAGGCGUUUUAGCCUUAAUCAUGUGAUUUGCAUCUUCUAGGUUGAAUUGAUUGAACCCCCACCCCCACCCUAUCGCAGUGCAUUCUGGGAGUACAGGAGAGCGCGCAAUAUUUAUUAGGAAGCUUUUAUGUCUAUAAAACGUGAAAAAAGCUAGUUAGUGUACUGUGGAGUAAAUAUGGUGUCGUUUUAGACAGACGGUUUGUUUAUUUUAAAAAUCUGCCCGGUCACGUGGCGAUCAGAAGAAGUUACUAGAAGUUCUUCAUGAAGAUCCUUAACCACAAUCCUGUCAAAUUCAUCCAAUCAACCUUCUGGAGAGCUUGUUAAAGAGCUGAUUAGAUGAUUCAGGAAACACGCACACGUGAAGAUGAAGAGGAACCUGCUCCUGUCUCUGAAGAACAAUGGAGAAAUAAAUGAAUGAUGAAUGAAAGCUCAGACUGGAAGAUCUCAGGUUCUGCUCUGAAUCACGGCUCUUUCCUGCGUUAAGUUUUCCAGGAAGUCGCACAGCUCACACCUGACCACGUCACCAUGGGCAGCAGGAGGAGCCUCUGGUCCCCAGGCUGCUGUUAUGAAGCGCAGUAAAACGCUCCGUAAGUCACAUUCCCAUUUCUCAUCGAUGGCUGUUUCCUGUCUGACUGUUUCAUGGAACCAGUGGGCGUUUACGGUCAACACAGGAGGCAUAAAUAAUUCUCCUCUCUCUGGUGCUCUCUCUCUGUCUCUAUGUCUCUCUCUCUCUCUCUCUCUCUCUCUCUCUCUCUCUCUCUCUCCCUGUCUCUCUCUCUCUCUCUCUCUCUGUCUCUCUAUCUCUCUCUGUCUCUCUAUCUCUCUCUGGCUCCCCGUCUCUCUCUCCCUCUCUCCCCGUCGCUCUCUCUCUCUCUCUCUCUCUCUCUCUGACUUCCCCCUCUUUCUUUUGCCCAUCUCUCUUUUCAUCUCUCUCUCUCUCUCUCUCUCUCUCUCUCUCUCUUCCUCUCCCUCAUUUACACACUUGAUCACUCGAUGUUUAAACAGCAGUAACAAACAUUGCAUUUUCCCUCUGAAGCAGAUAUCAAUAAAAUUAAGCGUAUAAUGGAGCACGGACUCCGAGUCUGUCCAUCUGGAUGUGGACAGAGGCCAACACAAGCACGGGUCCAUCUGCACGGCCCGCACCACUCAGCAUGCUAAUGACCAGCGUCUAGGACACACAGAGCAACCACACGGCUCCUUAAUCCGUCUUUACCUUUUGGAACGCGGCCAUGUGGAGAAGGAUGUUCGUAUUUGGACUCAUCUUUAUACUCGUUCUUCAAUCAACAUCCAUUUAAUUUACAAAUCGGGUUUUAUUUCAUGACAUAGCUCUGGUCAUUCAGCAGAUUAUAGAAUAGUACUUGAUCCAGUUUUUUAUUACUGACACUGUAUGUUUAAAUAUCCUCCUCGGUCAGAACCUCACAGAUCUUCACCAUUUAAUGUAGCCAGGAGAGGCUAAAUCAAGGUCAUCAAAUCCUAAUGUGUGUGUGUGUGUGUGUGUGUGUGGAGGGGGGGGGUGAUUUUAUUACAUUUCACUGGACUGGCCUAUUUCAUGUUAAAUCUAUAUUUUUGAGUUUUGUAUUUUGGAUUGUAUUUUUUAAUCUUAAAGCCUGUAAUUUUAACACACUUUUAAAGACAAAUCUUUGAUCUUGAAAGUUCAAAUGUUUAUUAUUACAUACAUUUAAUUCAUCAAUUUAUCCAUAAAUGUCCUUCAGGAUAA